rnacentral:rRNA from 1 species
GUGAGGAAUAUUGGUCAAUGGGCGGGAGCCUGAACCAGCCAAGUCGCGUGAAGGAAGAAGGAUCUAUGGUUCGUAAACUUCUUUUGCAGGGGAAUAAAGUGCAGGACGUGUCCUGUUUUGUAUGUACCCUGAGAAUAAGGAUCGGCUAACUCCGUGCCAGCAGCCGCGGUAAUACGGAGGAUCCGAGCGUUAUCCGGAUUUAUUGGGUUUAAAGGGUGCGUAGGGGGUUUGAUAAGUCAGCGGUGAAAGUUUGCAGCUUAACUGUAAAAAUGCCGUUGAAACUGUCGGACUUGAGUGUAAAUGAGGUAGGCGGAAUGCGUGGUGUAGCAGUGAAAUGCAUAGAUAUCACGCAGAACUCCGAUUGCGAAGGCAGCUUACUAAGCUACAACUGACACUGAAGCACGAAAGCGUGGGGAUCAAACAGGAUUAGAUACCCCUGUAGUCC